rnacentral:rRNA from 1 species
GACGAACGCUGGCGGCGUGCCUAAUACAUGCAAGUUGAGCGCUGAAGGUUGGUACUUGUACCAACUGGAUGAGCAGCGAACGGGUGAGUAACGCGUGGGGAAUCUGCCUUUGAGCGGGGGACAACAUUUGGAAACGAAUGCUAAUACCGCAUAAAAACUUUAAACACAAGUUUUAAGUUUGAAAGAUGCAAUUGCAUCACUCAAAGAUGAUCCCGCGUUGUAUUAGCUAGUUGGUGAGGUAAAGGCUCACCAAGGCGAUGAUACAUAGCCGACCUGAGAGGGUGAUCGGCGUCGUUGGGACUGAGACACGGCCCAAACUCCUACGGGAGGCAGCAGUAGGGGAUCUUCAGCAAUGGACGAAAGUCUGACCAAGCAACGCCGCGUGAGUGAAGGAGGUUUUCGGAUCGUAAAACUCUGUUGGUAGAGAAGAACGUUAGUGAGAGUGGAAAGCUCAUCAAGUGACGGUAACUACCCAGAAAGGGACGGCUAACUACGUG